UCUGUUUGAUCCCGGCAGAGGAUGAACGCUAGCGGCAGGCUUAACACAUGCAAGUCGAGGGGCAGCGCGAGAGUAGCAAUACUUUUGGCGGCGACCGGCGCAAGGGUGCGUAACGCGUGAGCAACAUGCCCGUAUCAGGGGGAUAAGCGAUGGAAACGUCGUCUAAUACCGCAUAACAACUUAAGAGGCAUCUCUUGAGUUUGAAAGUUUCGAUGGAUACGGAUUGGCUCGCGAGACAUUAGCCAGUUGGCGGGGUAACGGCCCACCAAAGCGACGAUGUCUAGGGGUUCUGAGAGGAAGGUCCCCCACACUGGAACUGAGACACGGUCCAGACUCCUACGGGAGGCAGCAGUGAGGAAUAUUGGACAAUGGUCGGAGGACUGAUCCAGCCAUGCCGCGUGAAGGUAGAAGGUCCUAUGGAUUGUAAACUUCUUUUGUACGAGAGCAAUAAGUGUCACGUGUGACACGAUGAGAGUAUCGUACGAAUAAGCAUCGGCUAACUCCGUGCCAGCAGCCGCGGUAAUACGGAGGACGCAAGCGUUAUCCGGAUUUAUUGGGUUUAAAGGGGUGCGUAGGCGGGCCUGGUUAAGUCAGCGGUGAAACGCAGUGCUCAACACCUGACCCUGCCCGUUGAAACUGCCGGUCCUUGG
rnacentral:rRNA from 1 species